CUCAGCUCAGGUUCUGUGGUACACUUGGACUCGGACUCUGGAGCAGUCAGUGCAUGACAGAACUUGGGUUUGGA
rnacentral:pre_miRNA from 1 species